AGCAGUGUGGCUUAGUGGAUAGAACCUGGGCCUGGGAGUCAGGAGGACCUGGGUUCUAAACCCAGCUUUGCCA
rfam:Ornithorhynchus anatinus chromosome 4, whole genome shotgun sequence.